UACAAUAUAUGGCACAUUUCAUUCUAACUCCGGUCAGUCCGGCAUACUUCCAAAGCAAGCCCAUAACAUUCGACUCUGCUAUUUUUUAUAAGGAUCCGGAAGUAUGUAUGCGACGAGUCGGGUUUAUAUGAUCGUAGCGCGCAUCGAUAUAUCGGCGUGUAUGUGAUAUAAUUUUUACCAGUUUGGGACAUGUCUACUGCUUCGACCUAAGACGCCUCUCAACGACAAAAUUUGCCACCUUAGUCAAAUGAGACAAAAAAUGAUGAGGGCAUUGGAAGUAGUAAAAGUGAGGAUGAGAGAAGUUUGUGUAUGUCUUGUUUAAACCCUUCUCUUCUCUCCCUCUCUUCUCUUCCCUCUCCCCACUAGCUGGCCUCUCUAUAUAUAUCCUCGCAGCCUCCUCUAGUCAAUGAAUCCAGAACAAGAAGAGGGAGAGAGAGGGGGAGAGAGAGAGAAGUUAGGAGGAGACAGCUCGAGCAGUGGCAAAUUAGGGUUUCGCAUCCGUUUGGGCCGGUUCUCUCGUGCGCGAUCAACGGUUGAAGCUGCCAGCAUGAUCUGAGCUUUCUUGUCUCUCGUCGUGGUUGUUAGGAAAGAAUAGAUCAUCUGGCAGUUUCACCUGUUGAUGGCAAGCACGGUCUGUGAAUAUAUUUACACAAAAAGCCUUCGACACGCCUGAAAGCCUAACUCUCAAGAAGAUCAAGAUGCAUCGGUAUCGGCCUCUCUGAAGAAACCAUUGGUUUCAUUUCUUGCCUCAGCAGGCCGAUAAAGUUUUGUAUAGAAUGGUGGUACCAUGUGAAAUGUCACAAGCCAAUAAAUGUUGGUCAUUUUGAUUUUUAGUAUGUAAACAGAAAUAGAAAAAAAUCUAUUGUUGAUAAAAAUAAUUUAUUGUUGGCAAAAAUCAUAUUUUUUAAGCGUCUUAUGACAUAAUUCUACGUGGUACCACCGUUGCACAUAAGACCUUCUCCAGCAGGACAUCGUGCAGGUUGUCUAGGUGCAUUGAAUCUCCAAUACCAUGACGACAAUAUAUUGAUUUGUUCAGUCAUCAUAAGCCUAGAAAUUUCUUGGUUAAUUAGGAUAUCAUAAGUAUAUAUAUGGCCUGUUUUACAUUCCGUUUGGCUGUCACUUGUGAUGCUUUUGAUCUGAGCAGACUUAUGUAAUGACGGUCGGUCGAUUUUGUUACUAGCCGAGUUUUCUAAUCCGCAUAUUCCGCAUUGGACGCUCA